ensembl:snRNA U1 U1 spliceosomal RNA
AUAUGCACCUAGCAGGGGAGAUACCAUAAUGACAAAGGAAGUUUUUCCAGCGUGAGGCUCAUCUAUUGUACUCAGGAGGAGCUGACCCCCCAUGAUUUUCCCAAAUUCUGGAAAUUUGUGGUAGUGGGGGACUGUGCUUGCAUUCUUCCCUG